UACCUGAUUAAAGCAGCGAUUAUUUCGUCGCACCGAAAAUUGUCGAAAACAUCGAUGAUAUGAACACGCGGCCAAGAACAACACGUGUGAAACGCGUGGCAUCGAGCAUAUUAUUCUAAAUACAAGCCGUACGAUUACGCACCCCUGUCGCGCAGCCUGUGGUCUAAUCAGUUUGUGGUCGUGAGAAGACUGACAUCUCAGCAACUAACUUCGAUAUACUCAAACACCGAAAUGGCAGAUAUACAGAUGAAUGAAGCCGACCACA